rnacentral:miRNA from 1 species
CACGGACUGCAGCAGUACUACUGUAAACUGAAGGACAGCGAGAAAAACCGCAAGCUCUUUGACCUGCUGGACGUCUUGGAGUUCAACCAGGUAAAUCUACGGG